AGCGAACGCUGGCGGCAGGCCUAACACAUGCAAGUCGAGCGGGCACCGCAAGGUGUCAGCGGCAGACGGGAGAGUAACACGUGGGAACGUGCCCUUCGGUUCGGAAUAACUCGGGGAAACUCGUGCUAAUACCGAAUACGCCCUUACGGGGAAAGAUUUAUCGCCGAUGGAGCGGCCCGCGUCUGAUUAGCUAGUUGGUGAGGUAAUGGCUCACCAAGGCGACGAUCAGUAGCUGGUCUGAGAGGAUGAUCAGCCUCACUGGGACUGAGACACGGCCCAGACUCCUGCGGGAGGCAGCAGUGGGGAAUAUUGGACAAUGGGCGCAAGCCUGAUCCAGCCAUGCCGCGUGGAUGAUGAAGGCCUUAGGGUUGUAAAGUCCUUUUAACGGGGAAGAUAAUGACAGUACCCGUAGAAUAAGCCCCGGCUAACUUCGUGCCAGCCGCCGCGGUAA
rnacentral:rRNA from 1 species